rnacentral:rRNA from 1 species
CAGCCGUAAACUAUGCGCGUUAGGUGUAUCGGUGACCACGAGUCACCGAGGUGCCGAAGGGAAACCGUGAAACGUGCCGCCUGGGAAGUACGGUCGCAAGGCUGAAACUUAAAGGAAUUGGCGGGGGGAGCACAACAACGGGUGGAGCCUGCGGUUUAAUUGGACUCAACGCCGGACAACUCACCGGGGACGACAGCAAUAUGUAGGCCAGGCUGAAGACCUUGCCUGAAUCGCUGAGAGGAGGUGCAUGGCGUAGACGU